CAUCAGGGGUGCUGAAAGGAUUUAUUGAUAAAUCCCGGUUCGGCUGAGAAUGGAGGGACGUUCCCCUCCUAAACCCUUUAACCUGAUCCGGAUAAUGCCGGCGUAGGAAGAAA
rnacentral:ncRNA from 1 species